AGCACCCUGGAGGUCAUUCCAAGUGACCCCGGUCUAACCACCGGGGAUGUUCAUAACCCUUUGUUGUCCGACUCUGUUGCCUCCGGGGCGACCCUGCCUUCGGGCGGGGGCUCCGGGUGGACACUUCAAACUCUUGCGUAACUUUGCAGUCUGAGUAAACUUAAUUAAUAAAUUAAAACUUUUAACAACGGAUCUCUUGGUUCUGGCAUCGAUGAAGAACGCAGCGAAAUGCGAUAAGUAAUGUGAAUUGCAGAAUUCAGUGAAUCAUCGAAUCUUUGAACGCACAUUGCGCCCCCUGGUAUUCCGGGGGGCAUGCCUGUUCGAGCGUCAUUUCACCACUCAAGCCUCGCUUGGUAUUGGGCAACGCGGUCCGCCGCGUGCCUCAAAUCGACCGGCUGGGUCUUCUGUCCCCUAAGCGUUGUGGAAACUAUUCGCUAAAGGGUGUUCGGGAGGCUACGCCGUAAAACAACCCCAUUUCUAAGGUUGACCUCGGAUCAGGUAGGGAUACCCGCUGAACUUAAGCAUAUCAAUAA
rnacentral:misc_RNA from 1 species